ensembl:snRNA U6 U6 spliceosomal RNA
GUGCUCUCUUUGGCAGCACAUAUACUAAAAUUGGAACGAUAGAGAGAAGAUUAGCAUGGCCCCUGCGCGUACAAAUGGAUGGAAAUAGAAAUCUUGCAGUUUUAA